UACGUAGGUGCGAGCGUUGUCCGGAAUUAUUGGGCGUAAAGGGCUCGUAGGCGGUUUGUCGCGUCGGGAGUGAAAACCAUGGGCUUAACUCAUGGCUUGCUUCCGAUACGGGCAGACUAGAGGCAUGCAGGGGAGAACGGAAUUCCUGGUGUAGCGGUGGAAUGCGCAGAUAUCAGGAGGAACACCGGUGGCGAAGGCGGGUCUCUGGGCAGUAACUGACGCUGAGGAGCGAAAGCGUGGGGAGCGAACAGG
rnacentral:rRNA from 1 species